rnacentral:rRNA from 1 species
AUAGCCAUUAGAAAUAGUGGGUAAUACCGAAUACGUUCAUCUGACUGCGGUCAGGUGAGGAAAAGCGCUUCGGCGCUGCCCGAAGAUGAGCCCGCGUCCCAUAGCUAGUUGGUGAGGUAAUGGCCCACCAAGGCGAUGAUGGGUAGCCGGCCUGAGAGGGUGUACGGCCACACUGGGACUGAGAUACGGCCCAGACUCCUACGGGAGGCAGCAGCUAAGAAUAUUCCGCAAUGGACGAAAGUCUGACGGAGCGACGCCGCGUGGAUGACGAAGGCCGAAAGGUUGUAAAGUCCUUUUGUUGGGGAAGAAUAACCAUGGGAGGGAAUGCCCGUGGGAUGACAUGAACCGACGAAUAAGCCCCGGCUAACUACGUGCCAGCAGCCGCGGUAACACGUAGGGGGCAAGCGUUGUUCGGAAUUACUGGGCGUAAAGGGCAUGUAGGCGGCUCUGUAAGUCCGGCGUGGAAGCCCAUGGCUCAACCAUGGGAUUGCGUUGGAAACUGUUGGGCUUGAAUCAUGGAGAGGGAGCUAGAAUUCCUGGUGUAGGGGUGAAAUCUGUAGAGAUCAGGAAGAAUACCAGUGGCGAAGGCGAGCUCCUGGCCAAUGAUUGACGCUGAGGUGCGAAAGUGUGGGGAUCAAACAGGAUUAGAUACCCUGGUAGUCC